rnacentral:rRNA from 1 species
GUAGGUGGCAAGCGUUGUCCGGAAUUAUUGGGCGUAAAGCGCGCGCAGGCGGUCCUUAAGUCUGAUGUGAAAGCCCACGGCUCAACCGUGGAGGGUCAUUGGAAACUGGGGGACUUGAGUACAGAAGAGGAAAGCGGAAUUCCAAGUGUAGCGGUGAAAUGCGUAGAGAUUUGGAGGAACACCAGUGGCGAAGGCGGCUUUCUGGUCUGUAACUGACGCUGAGGCGCGAAAGCGUGGGGAGCAAACAGGGAUUAGAUACCCUGGUAGUCCACGCCGUAAACGAUGAGUGCUAAGUGUUAGGGGGUUUCCCGCCCCUUAGUGCUGCAGCUAACGCAUUAAGCACUCCGCCUGGGGAGUACGGCCGCAAGGCUG